UACGUAGGGUGCAAGCGUUGUCCGGAAUUAUUGGGCGUAAAGAGCUCGUAGGCGGUCUGUCGCGUCUGGUGUGAAAAUCCAGGGCUUAACCAUGGACCUGCAUCGGGUACGGGCAGACUAGAGUGCGGUAGGGGAGAUCGGAAUUCCUGGUGUAGCGGUGAAAUGCGCAGAUAUCAGGAGGAACACCGGUGGCGAAGGCGGAUCUCUGGGCCGUAACUGACGCUGAGGAGCGAAAGCAUGGGGAGCGAACAGG
rnacentral:rRNA from 1 species